GUGAGGAAUAUUGGUCAAUGGGCGGGAGCCUGAACCAGCCAAGUAGCGUGCAGGAUGACGGCCCUAUGGGUUGUAAACUGCUUUUACACGGGGAUAAAGUGUGCGACGUGUCGUUCAUUGUAGGUACCGUGCGAAUAAGGACCGGCUAAUUCCGUGCCAGCAGCCGCGGUAAUACGGAAGGUCCGGGCGUUAUCCGGAUUUAUUGGGUUUAAAGGGAGCGGAGGCCGUCUGUUAAGCGUGUUGUGAAAUGUAGAUGCUCAACAUCUGAAUUGCAGCGCGCACUGACCGACUUGAGUGCGCAGGAAGUAGGCGGAAUUCGUGGUGUAGCGGUGAAAUGCUUAGAUAUCACGAAGAACUCCGAUUGCGAAGGCAGCUUACUGUAGCGCCACUGACGCUGAAGCUCGAAAGUGCGGGUAUCGAACAGGAUUAGAUACCCUUGUAGUCC
rnacentral:rRNA from 1 species